GCAGUAAGUCUUGAUAGGAGUCAAAUGCUUCUAUCUGUACGGACAAGCUGUGAUGGGGAGGGAAAUAAUAGUACCGAAGUUCCUGAUGUCACACUGCCGAGAAAAGCUUCUAGUGAGAAAACAACGACCCGUACCGCAAACCGACACAGGUAGUCGAGGAGAGAAUCCUAAGGUGAGCGAGAGAACUCUCGUUAAGGAACUCGGCAAAAUGACCCCGUAACUUCGGGAGAAGGGGUGCUGAUCUAAGAUCAGCCGCAGUGAAUAGGCCCAAGCGACUGUUUAUCAAAAACACAGGUCUCUGCAAAAUCGUAAGAUGAAGUAUAGGGGCUGACGCCUGCCCGGUGCUGGAAGGUUAAGAGGAGUGCUUAGCGUAUGCGAAGGUACGAAUUGAAGCCCCAGUAAACGGCGGCCGUAACUAUAACGGUCCUAAGGUAGCGAAAUUCCUUGUCGGGUAAGUUCCGACCCGCACGAAAGGCGUAACGAUUUGGGCACUGUCUCAACGAGAGACUCGGUGAAAUUUUAGUACCUGUGAAGAUGCAGGUUACCCGCGACAGGACGGAAAG
rnacentral:rRNA from 1 species